rnacentral:rRNA from 1 species
GUCUAGGAGCUUCCACAAUGGGCGAAAGCCUGAUGGAGCGACGCCGCGUGCGGGAUUGAAGGCCGUAAGGUUGUAAACCGCUGUCAGCAGGGAAGAAUGCCCGGAUGGUGAAUUCGGGAGAGACGGUACCUGCAGAGGAAGCCCCGGCCAACUCCGUGCCAGCAGCCGCGGUAAUACGGAGGGGGCGAACGUUGUUCGGAAUUACUGGGCGUAAAGAGUGCGUAGGCGGUUCGGCAAGUCUGGUGUGAAAUUCCCCGGCUUAACCAGGGAACUGCAUUGGAAACUGCCGAGCUAGAGGAUGGUAGAGGCAACUGGAAUUCCGGGUGUAACGGUGGAAUGUGUAGAUAUCCGGAAGAACACUCGUGGCGAAGGCGGGUUGCUGGCCCAUUUCUGACGCUGAGGCACGAAAGCCAGGGGAGCGAACGGGAUUAGAAACCCGAGUAGUCC